AGAGUUUGAUCAUGGCUCAGGACGAACGCUGGCGGCGUGCUUAACACAUGCAAGUCGAACGGGAUCCAUCCCAGCUUGCUGGGAGAAGAUUUAGUGGCGAACGGGUGAGUAACGCGUGGGCAACCUGCCCUAGAGAUUGGGAUAACUCCUCGAAAGGGGGGCUAAUACCGGAUAUCUUCACAGUCACGCAUGUGAUUGUGAAGAAAGCCUUCGGGCGCUUUAGGAUGGGCCCGCGUUCCAUUAGCUUGUUGGUGAGGUAAAGGCUUACCAAGGCUUUGAUGGAUAGCCGGCCUGAGAGGGUGAACGGCCACACUGGGACUGAGAUACGGCCCAGACUCCUACGGGAGGCAGCAGUGGGGAAUAUUGCGCAAUGGGCGAAAGCCUGACGCAGCAACGCCGUGUGGACGAUGAAGGCCUUCGGGUUGUAAAGUCCUGUCACAGGGGACGAAGUCCCCGAUUUAUCGGGGAUGACGGUACCCUGAGAGGAAGCCCCGGCUAACUACGUGCCAGCAGCCGCGGUAAUACGUAGGGGGCUAGCGUUGUCCGGAAUUAUUGGGCGUAAAGAGCACGUAGGCGGCUUUCCAAGUCAGGUGUGAAACCCUCAGGCUCAACUUGAGGCCUGCACUUGAUACUGGUUAGCUAGAGUCUAGUAGAGGAGAGUGGAAUUCCUGGUGUAGCGGUGAAAUGCGCAGAUAUCAGGAAGAACACCGGUGGCGAAGGCGGCUCUCUGGACUACGACUGACGCUGAGGUGCGAAAGCUAGGGGAGCAAACAGGAUUAGAUACCCUGGUAGUCCUAGCUGUAAACGAUGGGCACUAGGUGUAGGGGGUUAUCGACUCCCCCUGUGCCGCAGUUAACGCAUUAAGUGCCCCGCCUGGGGAGUACGGCCGCAAGGCUAAAACUCAAAGGAAUUGACGGGGGCCCGCACAAGCGGCGGAGCAUGUGGCUUAAUUCGACGCAACGCGAAGAACCUUACCAAGGCUUGACAUGUAUUCGAAAGCCUAUGGAAACAUAGGCCCUCUUUCGGGACGGAUACACAGGUGGUGCAUGGUUGUCGUCAGCUCGUGUCGUGAGAUGUUGGGUUAAGUCCCGCAACGAGCGCAACCCCUGUCCCAUGUUGCCAGCAUUUAGUUGGGGACUCAUGGGAGACUGCCCCGGUCAACGGGGAGGAAGGUGGGGAUGACGUCAAAUCAUCAUGCCCCUUAUGUCUUGGGCUGCACACGUGCUACAAUGGCCUGUACAAUGGGCUGCGACGGGGCGACCUAGAGCGAAUCCCUUAAAACAGGCCUUAGUUCGGAUUGGAGGCUGCAACCCGCCUCCAUGAAGUCGGAGUCGCUAGUAAUCGCGAAUCAGUAUGUCGCGGUGAAUACGUUCCCGGGCCUUGUACACACCGCCCGUCACACCACCCGAGUUGUCUGCACCCGAAGUCAUUGGCCCAACCCGCAAGGGAGGGAGAUGCCGAAGGUGUGGAGAGUAAGGGGGGUGAAGUCGUAACAAGGUAGCCG
rnacentral:rRNA from 1 species